CCUACGGGGGGCAGCAGUGGGGAAUAUUGCGCAAUGGGCGAAAGCCUGACGCAGCGACGCCGCGUGAGGGAUGAAGGUCUUCUGAUCGUAAACCUCUGUCAGCAGGGAAGAACGGUCACUGUGCUAAUCAGCAGUGAAUUGACGGUACCUGCAAAGGAAGCACCGGCUAACUCCGUGCCAGCAGCCGCGGUAAUACGGAGGGUGCGAGCGUUAAUCGGAAUUACUGGGCGUAAAGCGCUCGUAGGCGGUAUGUCAAGUCAAGGGUGAAAUCCCCGCGCUCAACGUGGGAACUGCCUUUGAAACUGGCAAACUGGAGUGUGUGAGAGGAGAGUGGAAUUCCAGGUGUAGGAGUGAAAUCCGUAGAUAUCUGGAGGAACAUCAGUGGCGAAGGCGACUAUCUGGAACAUAACUGACGCUGAGGAGCGAAAGCGUGGGUAGCAAACAGGAUUAGAUACCCUUGUAGUC
rnacentral:rRNA from 1 species